UGGUAACGGGGAAGUCAUUUGCUAACAACCUUGGCCCUUACAUUUUAGUUCCUCCCUAUGAGGGAAGGGAAGUGCUUGGUCCCGCCCCAGCAGCGUGCCGAACCAGAACUCUGGGAAACUAUUGCAGUGAUGUGUGGAAUCCAGGGUUUAGCAAAACAAAGGUGGAUAUAGCUUGUACCACACUAAAACUCCAACAGUGUGCUGCUGGGUGAACAGGGCUGGACAGAACAUGCAGAAAACCAGUGCUGAGAUUAUGCUGAGUGAA